ensembl:lncRNA
AAAUGAAUGGAAGUAUAGGGGUAUGAUCCCCAAAAAAGGCGUUAAAUAUAUAUCCCCCAAAAAACAAAGAAUAUUUCCUGAACUUUAAAACUUUCUUUUUGACUUGGUCUGUUAACCAUCUGAAUGUGUUAUUCGAUGAUUUUCUAUGGGAUAUAGCAGUAAAGGCCAAAUACAAUAUUUUAAAUCAAAGGCUUAGACAGCCUUGUUGUCCCUGAGGCAUAGAGAGAGGUCUCUGCCUUGUUGUCCCUGAGGCAUAGAGAGAGGUCUCUGCCUUGUUGUCCCUGAGGCAUAGAGAGAGGUCUCUGCCUCGUUGUCCCUGAGGCAUAGAGAGAGGUCUCUGCCUUGUUGUCCCUGAGGCAUAGAGAGAGGUCUCUGCCUUGUUGUCCCUGAGGCAUAGAGAGAGGUCUCUGCCUUGUUGUCCCUGAGGCAUAGAGAGAGGUCUCUGCCUUGUUGUCCCUGAGGCAUAGAGAGAGGUCUCUGCCUUGUUGUCCCUGAGGCAUAGAGAGAGAGGUCUCUGCCUUGUUGUCCCUGAGGCAUAGAGAGAGGGUCUCUGCCUUGUUGUCCCUGAGGCAUAGAGAGAGAGGUCUCUGCCUUGUUGUCCCUGAGGCAUAGAGAGAGGUCUCUGCCUUGUUGUCCCUGAGGCAUAGAGAGAGGUCUCUGCCUUGUUGUCCCUGAGGCACGGAGAGAGAGUUCUCUGCCCACUUAGCUGGAAAGCAAAUAUCAGAUGUCUAGUGGGCAGAGGUGUGUUUGUACUGUGCGUGCAUGCAUACCAAAUGUGUGUGUGUGUGUGUGUGUGUGUGUGUACUGAGCGUGGAUUCAUGUCUGUGUGUGAGUGU